AAUUAUUUUGAUGAUUAUGAUAUGAUUGCAUGAUUGUGUGAAAAUUUCGUGAUGAAAUUUUAUGCCUAAAAUGCUUAAAUUGAAAGUAAGGACUAAAUCGAAUAAGUUGUAAAACUUGCAUUCUAGAAGUUUUUAGUAUAAAAUUGUUUUGGAAUAUUAAUGAGGAUUAAAAUAGAAAUUUGACCAAUUUUAAGUUCAUGGACAAAAUUAGAACAUGGAAAGAAUUUUUGGAAAGUUUAGUAGUAAGGGUAUUUUGGUCAUUUAGUUAUUAAAAUGAAUUAAAAAUAAAAUUAAAAGCUAAUUUUUGUCCAUCUUCUUCAUUAGGCCGAAAUUUCAAGGGUUUUCUAUAGCUAGGGUUUGUUUCAAGCUUCUAAGUUUCAUAAUAAGUGAUUUCAAGCCCCAUUUUUAAUGUUCUUUACGUUUUCAGAAUCCCGGUAGUUCGAUUAAGCUUAUGUUAGCAAUAAUUCAACCUAGGGUUUAUAUUUGAAAAAAUACCCAUAGGUGAAAUUUGUGUAUUAUGAUGUUUUAUGAUAGAAUAUGAGGUUUUAAAUUAUGUCAAAUUCUCAUCACUUCCAUCAUAUUCUAGUAACGUUGCUAACUUUGAAGUUAGAACCUCUGUUUUCAUUUUUUUACUCCAUCAAAUCUGACGUGCCCAGCUUUCUAAACCUCUUUUCAGAUUUUCCAAUUUACUCAAAAGAUCUCCUAUGGAAUUUUCCCAAAGACGCCUAGCUUUCUCAAAAAAUGUUUCCUCCAAAACCCAAAACCCACCUGGCUUCAAACUUAAAAUUUUUAUUAAGCAGCCUUCUAGCUCCAUAUUCUGUAUUAAUAAGAAGUGGACAAUGUAAUAUCCUGAAUUAGGGCUUAAUCGGAAUAGUGGUUUUGUAAUCACAAAUCUGAGAUAGAAAUAAUAAUUUUAUAAUUAUUUUGAUGAUUAUGAUAUGAUUGCAUGAUUGUGUGAAAAUUUCGUGAUGAAAUUUUAUGCCUAAAAUACUUAAAUUGAAAGUAGGGACUAAAUCGAAUAAGUUGUAAAACUUGCAUUCUAGAAGUUUUUAGUAUAAAAUUGUUUUGGAAUAUUAAUGAGGUCUAAAAUAGAAAUUUGACCAAUUUUAAGUUCAUGGACAAAAUUAGGACAUGGAAAGAAUUUUUGGAAAGUUUAGUAGUAAGGGUAUUUUGGUCAUUUAGUUAUUAAAAUGAAUUAAAAACAAAAUGAAAAGCUAAUUUUUGUCCAUCUUCUUCAUUAGGCUGAAAUUUCAAGGGUUUUCUAUAGCUAGGGUUUGUUUCAAGCUUCUAAGCUUCAUAAUAAGUAAUUCCAAGCCCCAUUUUUAAUAUUCUUUACGUUUUUAGAAUCCCGGUAGUUCGAUUAAGCUUAUGUUAGCAAUAAUUCAACCUAGGGUUUAUAUUUGAAAAAAAUACCCAUAGGUGAAAUUUGUGUAUUAUGAUGUUUUAUGAUAGAAUAUGAGGUUUUAAAUUAUGUUAGACAACUUGUGCUACUCGGUUUUGAGUGAAAACGAGUAAAAGGGCUUAAUCGACAAAAAUACCUAAUAGUCACAAGUAUAUGUUAGAGAGAGAAUUUGAUGUUGCCAUAGAAGGAAAAACUGAUCAGCAUGUUAUAAAAUAUAAGAAUAAGGAAUAAAGUUUAAUUCCCGAGCCUAGAGGCAAAAGUUUAAUUAUGCAAAAAUUUAGGGGCAAAAGUGUAAUUUUUUUAAAGUUCGUAUUAAAUGCUGUUUUAAUGAAUGUAUGUAUUAAAUAAGAUUAAUUUGGUAUUAUAGAUCAAUAAAAAUGAGAUUCAAGUCGCGAUCGAGGAAAAGAAAAGAUUGUGGACUAAAUUGUAAAAUUUUUAUAUUUUGGUACCAAGGUAAGUUCAUGUGUAAAUGUAGUAAAAUAAUUGUCAUUUUAAGCAAUUUAAUGUUUAUAUGAUAUGAUGUUGAUUAUUAUCAUGAAAUAUUAUGCUUUGUGGUUAUUGUUGAAUAAUAUGUAAUUAUAUGAAUUACUUGAUGAGUAUGAACUAUCAUCGAAGUACCGAUUUCG
rnacentral:lncRNA from 1 species